rnacentral:tRNA from 1 species
CCAGAUCUCGGGUGGGAAGGUGCUCGCGAGGUGGUGGCUCUCGCCGACGGGCAGGUCCCGUAGUCUGCGUUCGGCCUGCAGGGUCUGACC